UGCGUAAUAGCUCACUAGUCGAGUGAUUGUGCGCCGAAAAUGUAACGGGGCUAAACUUGACACCGAAGUCUGGGCAGAAGGAAACUUCUGGGUAGGGGAGCAACGUGUACGGGCAGAAGCAGAAGCGGAAGCGACUGUGGACUGUACAGGAGAGAGAAUGCCGGCAUGAGUAGCGAGAGCAAAGUGAGAAUCUUUGCCGUCGAAAGCCUAAGGUUUCCUGAGGAAGGCUCGUCCUCUCAGGGUAAGUCGGGACCUAAGCCGAGGACAAUAGUCGUAGGCGAUGGACAAUCGGUUAAUAUUCCGAUACCGCCGAGCAACCGGAUGCAGUGACACAGAAGGAUAGGCAGAGCGUGGCGAUGGUAGACCACGUCCAAGCAGUGAGGCUGUUGUGUAGUGAAGUACGCACAACGUAAGGCUGGGCUGUGAUGGGGAACGAUUACGAUCGGUAAGCUGCUGAAUUCACGCUGGCGAGAAAAGCUGCUACGAAGCGAAGGCGCCCGUACCGCAAACCGACACAGGUAGGCGAGGAGAGAAUCCUAAGACGAGCGGGAGAACCCUUGUUAAGGAACUCGGCAAAAUGACUCCGUAACUUAGGGAGAAGGAGUGCCCAGGAAUGGGCCGCAGAGAAUAGACCCAAGCGACUGUUUACCAAAAACACAGGUCUGUGCGAAGUAGAGAUACGACGUAUACGGGCUGACACCUGCCCAGUGCCGGAAGGUUAAGGGGAAAUGUUAGGGCAACCGAAGCAUGGAACUUAAGCCCCGGUGAACGGCGGCCGUAACUAUAACGGUCCUAAGGUAGCGAAAUUCCUUGUCGGGUAAGUUCCGACCCGCACGAAUGGUGUAACGAUUUGGGCACUGUCUCAACAAGGGACCCGGCGAAAUUGUAGUAUGUGUGAAGAUGCACAUUACCCGCGAUAGGACGGAAAGACCCCGUAGAGCUUUACUGUAGUUUAACAUUGGAUUCCGGUAACAUAUGCACAGGAUAGGUGGGAGGCGGAGAAGCAGUGAUUUCGGUUGCUGCAGAGCCGACGUUGGGAUACCACUCUUGUGUUACUGGGGUUCUAACCUGUGGCCGUGAUCCGGCACAGGAACAGUGUUAGAUGGGCAGUUUGACUGGGGCGGUCGCCUCCAAAAGAGUAACGGAGGCGUCCAAAGGUUCCCUCAGAAUGGUUGGAAACCAUUCGAAGAGUACAAAGGCAGAAGGGAGCCUGACUGCGAGACCGACAGGUCGAGCAGGGACGAAAGUCGGGCUUAGUGAUCCGGCGGUAUAGAGUGGAAUUGCCGUCGCUCAACGGAUAAAAGCUACCUCGGGGAUAACAGGCUUAUCUCCCCCAAGAGUCCACAUCGACGGGGAGGUUUGGCACCUCGAUGUCGGCUCGUCGCAUCCUGGGGCUGAAGCAGGUCCCAAGGGUUUGGCUGUUCGCCAAUUAAAGCGGCACGCGAGCUGGGUUCAGAACGUCGUGAGACAGUUCGGUCCCUAUCCAUCGUGGGCGCAGGAGAUUUGAGAAGAGCUGUCCUCAGUACGAGAGGACCGGGAUGGACGCACCAAGGGUGUAUCAGUUGUCACGCCAGUGGCACAGCUGGGUAGCCAAGUGCGGAUCGGAUAAACGCUGAAGGCAUCUAAGCGUGAAGCCGACUUCAAGAUAAGAUCUCCCAUCCGCAAGGAGUAAGGCCCCAUGUAGACCACAUGGUUGAUAGGUCGCAGGUGGAAGUGCAGUAAUGUACGCAGCUGAGCGAUACUAAUAGGCCGAGGGCUUGAUCAA
rnacentral:rRNA from 1 species